rnacentral:rRNA from 1 species
UACGGGGGGAGCAAGCGUUGUUCGGAUUUACUGGGCGUAAAGGGCGCGUAGGCGGCCACCGCAAGUCGACUGUGAAAUCUCCGGGCUUAACUCGGAAAGGUCAGCCGAUACUGCGGGGCUAGAGUGCAGAAGGGGCAACUGGAAUUCUCGGUGUAGCGGUGAAAUGCGUAGAUAUCGAGAGGAACACCUGCGGCGAAGGCGGCGAUCUGGGUCGGUACUGACGCUGAGACGCGAAAGCGUGGGGAGCGAACAGG